UUUAAAUUGAGAGUUUGAUCCUGGCUCAGGAUGAACGCUGGCGGCGUGCUUAACACAUGCAAGUCGAGCGAUGAAGUUUCCUUCGGGAAACGGAUUAGCGGCGGACGGGUGAGUAACACGUGGGUAACCUGCCUCAUAGAGUGGAAUAGCCUUCCGAAAGGAAGAUUAAUACCG
rnacentral:rRNA from 1 species